rnacentral:rRNA from 1 species
CAAAGCUUCCUCUAGGCUUCCCCCAAAUCCCAUCAGAACUCCGCAGUUAAGCGUGCUUGGGCUAGAGUAGAACUCGGAUGGGUGACCUCCCAGGAAGUCCUAGUGUUGC